rnacentral:rRNA from 1 species
AGUGAACGCUGGCGGUAGGCCUAACACAUGCAAGUCGAACGGCAGCACAGUAAGAGCUUGCUCUUACGGGUGGCGAGUGGCGGACGGGUGAGGAAUACAUCGGAAUCUACUUUUUCGUGGGGGAUAACGUAGGGAAACUUACGCUAAUACCGCAUACGACCUACGGGUGAAAGCAGGGGAUCUUCGGACCUUGCGCGAUUGAAUGAGCCGAUGUCGGAUUAGCUAGUUGGCGGGGUAAAGGCCCACCAAGGCGACGAUCCGUAGCUGGUCUGAGAGGAUGAUCCGCCGCCCUUGAAAUGGGACACGGUCCAGACUCCUACGGGAGGCAGCAGUGGGGAAUAUUGGACAAUGGGCGCAAGCCUGAUCCAGCCAUACCGCGUGGGUGAAGAAGGCCUUCGGGUUGUAAAGCCCUUUUGUUGGGAAAGAAAAGCAGCAGGUUAAUACCCCGCUGUUCUGACGGUACCCAAAGAAUAAGCACCGGCUAACUUCGUG